GUGUGUGGUGCACCUGGAUGUGCACGAGUGUCAAAUGGAAUGUGCAGGUGUGUGUGUGGUGCACCUGGAUGUGCACGAGUGUCAAAUGGAAUGUGCAGGUGUGUGUGGUGCACCUGGAUGUGCACGAGUGUCAAAUGGAAUGUGCAGGUGUGUGUGUGGUGCACCUGGAUGUGCACGAGUGUCAAAUGGAAUGUGCAGGUGUGUGUGGUGCACCUGGAUGUGCACGAGUGUCAAAUGGAAUGUGCAGGUGUGUGUGUGGUGCACCUGGAUGUGCACGAGUGUCAAAUGGAAUGUGCAGGUGUGUGUGGUGCACCUGGAUGUGCACGAGUGUGUAUGAUCUAUUGAUGCCUUCUCUUUUAAGGCACGUUUUGAAUACAUCUCUAAAUUUUAUUCAUAUGUGUACACUACAUUUUUAAACUCCACAUAUAUACAUAUUAUAUUCUUUCAUUUAUUUUAGCUAAAUACACUACACUUUACAGUAGCUUAUAUAACAGAAUCUAGUAUUACUAUACUUUAAACAUAAAAAAAACACAAUGUUACUGUUUUAGACAAUUGUAAUUAUGGAAAUUUGCAUGAAAAAAAUUUUUCUUAGUAAUAUAUGGGGAAAAGAAUGAUUGCACACUUAAUUAAAAAAAUUAAAUGAUUCACAUUCAAAAAAAAAAAAAAAUAGCCGUUGCAUCAGAACUUCGAAAAUUCUACAUAUCAUGAUGUCGGAUUUUCAAUAUCUUUUUCAAUAUCUUUUCAAGUUUCUGUGAUCUAAACGGGCUCAUCGUAGGUCAGGGGUCAGGCUACACAACAUGCAUUACAGAGUUUACACUAUCUUCAGUUCGUUGCUACAACUACUUAUCAUAAGACUAAUAUACUAACUAAUCAGUGAAAGUUGAAGUCAUACUCUCUCUUUCUAUCUUUUUCACGCUGUCAGACAACUCUUCCAAUGAUUAGGCCUACAACAUUUGUAUCUAUGUGGAUUGAUUCGGAGCCUCUCCAUCUACACAUAACGUUAUUUGAGUUGACUCUAGACAUUAGAAAUAGUAGCAUACAUGAUACAC